GCCAGAGGUAUAAAUACAGCAUGUUUUCAAUGUGUGUUAAAACCGUGUAUGGCCCCUUUAAGAGAUCAACGAUCUCUGCUCGCGAGAUUUCCUGUUUGCAUGUGCGUGAACAGAACAGCCAUUUCAUGAUAAUCCAAUGUAGCAGCCGAGUGCCAUGCCGUUGUGUUGGCAUCGGGGAGAUUUAUUUUGAAGUGAUGCCGUCUUUCUGGGAAACUGAGACCUAUUUGUGUGAACUUUUGAUGUGUAAUUCGUUGUAGAUGAGAUCGGAUCGUGUGUGAUCCACGUGAACCUCGUGUCUGGUGAUAGUGGAAACUUCCAGUCACUACCGUAUUCUUUACUGUAUCAGUAGUUCAUUUUUUGACCAUUUUUUAUAAGGAUUUUGGUGAAGCUGAAAAUAUUUAUUUAAGUGUGAUUAAAGACAAAGUCCAAAUCGCCUGAUCAAGUAGUAGAUAUUUUUUGGUCAUGCUCACUCCAGAGUAAAUUAUUUUGGAGUGUGAGUCUUGUGCUGUUUUUCAACCAGUGUUCAUCUUGUGGAAAGCUAAGAUUUUGUUUUUUUGUUACAUUGGAACGGGUGAAACAUCACAUUUAUUUGUAUUUAUUUUUGUUAGUCUUCAGUGUCAUUACACUGUGUAACUCUUGGAGUGAUAAUUUGUAUUUAGUAAUUUUUCUUAAUUCUAUUUUUUGGCAUUUUAUUUACUUUUAUUUAUUUAUUUUUGCUCAUCUGUGUUUCCGCCUACCGCUGUAACUUCUUUUAAGGGAAAAAAACAGCAGUCAGAUAAAACCCCAAUAUAAACAAAUUAAUCUGU